AUCCAGUUGACGAGUCCGAAAUAGGACGAAACGCGUAUCAUGGAU
rfam:Schistosoma curassoni strain Dakar, Senegal genome assembly, scaffold: SCTD_contig0000263